UACGUAGGGGGCAAGCGUUGUCCGGAAUCAUUGGGCGUAAAGCGCGUGUAGGCGGCCCGGUAAGUCCGCUGUGAAAGUCCAGGGCUCAACCCUGGAAUGCCGGUGGAUACUGUCGGGCUCGAGUCCGGAAGAGGCGAGUGGAAUUCCUGGUGUAGCGGUGAAAUGCGCAGAUAUCAGGAGGAACACCGGUGGCGAAGGCGGGUCUCUGGGCCGUAACUGACGCUGAGGAGCGAAAGCGUGGGGAGCGAACAGG
rnacentral:rRNA from 1 species